CACUGGAGGCAGCGGUUCAUCGAUCUCUUCCUGGGAAUUUGCUGUCUCCCAAUAGCAGCAAUUCAUGAAUCGGUCGAUAAACCUCUGCAUCCAGC
rfam:Punica granatum cultivar Dabenzi scaffold192, whole genome shotgun sequence.